rnacentral:rRNA from 1 species
UAGUGGCGGACGGGUGAGUAACGCGUGGGAAUCUGCCCUCAGGAGGGGGAUAACGGUUGGAAACGACCGCUAAUACCCCAUAUGCCGAGAGGUGAAACGAAAUUCGCCUGAGGAUGAGCCCGCGUCUGAUUAGCUAGUUGGUGGGGUAAAGGCCUACCAAGGCAUCGAUCAGUAGCUGGUCUGAGAGGAUGAUCAGCCACACUGGGACUGAGACACGGCCCAGACUCCUACGGGAGGCAGCAGUGGGGAAUUUUCCGCAAUGGGCGUAAGCCUGACGGAGCAACGCCGCGUGAGGGAUGAAGGCCUCUGGGCUGUAAACCUCUUUUCUCAAGGAAGAAGAACUGACGGUACUUGAGGAAUAAGCCACGGCUAA